UUCAUCUUAGCCAGCCCGUGUCUAGUUAUUCCCAAAAUUUCGCCUCUGCAGCUCAUUAGAUCGGACAAUAAAGCGACAUGACGGCGAUCUACACUCAUGCCAUGACUUUCCAUGGUCAUUUCAUAAUACUUGGCCGCUUCGAUUCCCAAAGUGCUGAAAACUUCAAGAAUAUUGUUGGAAGUUGUUGAAGUUCCUUUAACACCAUAAGUCGCCAUGACUCCCCUCAUAUUGACACCUUCAACAAGUAGAUAAUAUCUUGGCGGCUUUCUGCUAUCAUCAACAUUAAUAACUGCUCGGCUGACGGUUGGUAAGCCCUGUAUUCAGAUAACAAAAGAAACUAAAGCAAUAUAACAUUUUAUACAGAAUUAUGUACCAACCUUAAUGACGAUCUUGGGCAGUUGUUCUUUAAGGUUCUGCAUUACGUGAUACAUUGAUGACUUCGCAGAUGGAGCAGGUUUGACGAUAACUAUCGUUUCACUAACCACUUUGAUGUACGACGGUUUAAUUUUAAGCUUACACGUGCAGAGACUGAAAUUGGGCAGAAAUCAUAAUUAUAUUUAAAUAAUUUUUUUUUUAUUAUUAUUUUCUUUUGCAGACCUCCAUUGGAUGGAAUUUGCAUCCACCUCAAGUUUCAACAAACGGAUUCUAUUCAUAUCCAAUUUAAUAAGCAUGAAACAGUCAUCGGGGAGAUAAACUUCUUCAAAAUAUUCCGUCACCUUUAAAAGGAUCAUUGUCUACUAAGAGACUGGUUGAAAUAACAGGCGUGCUAAUUGCUUUUGAAGCAUUUAUGAUUUCCUUGAUUCUGAAAGAUUGAAAAACUAAAAUUUUGAACUGCAAUUCUUAAUGGGAAGAGAAAAAAAUGUAUACCUUGGAACUCCCUGAGUGAUGUUCAUCGAUGCUACACCAGCAAAGUGAAAAGUUUUCAGCGUCAUCUGAGUGCCCGGUUCUCCAAUACUUUGCGCGCAGAGGGCACCAACUGCGGUACCUUUGAUGAAAAACGAAGGGUUGAGUUAUCUA